AUGAAUUGCUUAAGUUGGAACUGUCGAGGGGCGGGGAACCCUCGAACAAUUCGCAAUCUUGCGGCCCUUGUGGCCGCCCAUUCCCCGAAGUUGGUUUUUUUGUGUGAAACUAGACAGCCUAGAGAUAAAAUGUUUCGGCUUCGUUCUCGUUUAGGUCUUUCGGGUUUUGAAGGAAUUAGUAGUGAAGGCAUGAGUGGAGGUCUUGCUUUAUUUUGGGAUGAGUCUGUAUCAGUUCAAGUCCAAAAGUUCAAUAAAAGAUGGAUUGAUGUGUAUGUCAGGGUGUCAAAUAAUGACCCGCAAUGGCGGGUUACCUUUGUUUAUGGUGAAUCUAGGGUUGAGAACAGGCACCUCAUGUGGGACUCUUUGAGUCGCCUCCAUGGAAUCAGUGAUCUUCCGUGGAUGAUUGUCGGAGAUUUCAACGAAGCAAUGUGGGACUACGAGCAUUUAUCAGAAACCCCGAGAGCCCCAGGGCAAAUGCUUAUUUUCAGAGAUGCUCUUGAAACUUGUGGUCCCAUUGAUUUGGGUUUUGCAGGGUACCCCUUCACAUAUGAUAACAGGAGGGCCGGUCGGGCAAAUGUGCAAGUGCGACUGGACCGGGCGGUGGCCACUGGUGCGUGGCGUGACUUGUUUGCGGAUGCGGCGGUGGUUCAUUUGGUGUCGCCACGAUCCGACCAUUGCCCCGUCCUUGUCCGGUGUGUCCAGGACACGGCGCCCAAACUGUAA
rnacentral:rRNA from 1 species